AUCCAGCUGACGAAUCCCAAAUAGGACGAUACGCGCGUCCUGGAU
rnacentral:hammerhead_ribozyme from 1 species